AAAGAGCUGGGUUGGUCUUUCAUCCAAUCGGAGAGAAGCUCCCACCCAUUGACCCAAUCGGAGCAGGUUCAUUUCCUCUGAAGCCGCCAAGAGAGAGAAAGCAAGCCGCAUUGAACACAAGUCGAGCCACGGCACACUUUGGGACGGUGAAACAAUAAAAACGUGGAUAAAACUCAGAGAAAACUGUUGAAGAAAUCCCCCGGCCGACCUGGACCUGUGUGAGCACAGUUAGAGGAGCCGCUCGGGAGGAGAAACGCAUCGACCCAGAUAAGCAGAACACCAGGAGGUCUAGGGCCACAACACCUGAACCUCUCCGCCAGAGCAUUGUUCCCACCUGCUUCAAGACUACAACCCCACCCAUCCACAUCACGGACUGUUCACACUUCUACCCUCAGGCCGGAGGUAGCCUACAGAAGUGUGAAAUGCAGAACAUCAAGGCUGAAAAACUCUUUCAUCCCCUCUUUCAUCAGACUCCUGAACAGAUAACAGGAGUCACAACCACGGACUCCCUCAUCACUGUACAUUUUGCACAUUGCAUUGCUAACAUCAGACACUUCACUUUUGUAUACAAAUAAGAUUUGUAUUCUUUAUUUAUUGUAAUUUCUUUUUACAUUCUAUUUUAUAACUCGGCAUCAGUGUAGACAGCAAAGAAAAAAAAUCAUUGCACAGAGAAACUUGUUUUUUCUUGCUGUACAUGACAAUAAACACUUUGAAUCUCUUGUUUCUUGGUUGAAAUCGCUCUAAAUACAUGGGUCAUGACUCAUUUUUUCAUACAUAGAUGGCGCAGUGAGAUAAGUAGGUGCCUCAUAUGUAUUGAAGGGACUAUAGCCCUCACUGCAGAGGCCCCCGGUUCGAGUCUCGCAUCGGACGUCCCUGUACUGCGUGUCUCUCUCCAAGGUGCACUAUCAUUGAAGGCAUAAAAUCCCACCCCAAUUUU